UGGGGAAUAUUGGACAAUGGGCGCAAGCCUGAUCCAGCCAUGCCGCGUGGAUGAAGAAGGCCCUAGGGUUGUAAAAUCCUUUCGCUAGGGAAGAUAAUGACGGUACCUAGUAAAGAAGCCCCGGCUAAUUUCGUGCCAGCAGCCGCGGUAAUACGAAAGGGGCUAGCGUUGUUCGGAAUUACUGGGCGUAAAGCGCGCGUAGGCGGCCUGCCAAGUUAGGGGUGAAAUCCCGGAGCUCAACUCCGGAACUGCCUCUAAAACUGGUAAGCUUGAGGAUGUGAGAGGUGAGUGGAAUUCCGAGUGUAGAGGUGAAAUUCGUAGAUAUUCGGAAGAACACCAGUGGCGAAGGCGACUCACUGGCACAUUUCUGACGCUGAGGCGCGAAAGCGUGGGGAGCAAACAGGAUUAGAUACCCCCGUAGUCC
rnacentral:rRNA from 1 species